rnacentral:SRP_RNA from 1 species
AGGCAAUAGCGGUAGACGCUUAAUUUUGUUAACCCCGUCAGGUUCGAAAGAAAGCAGCGGUACCUUGAUUGGCGGGUUACGGCUAUUGUCUUUA